AGAGUUUGAUCAUGGCUCAGAUUGAACGCUGGCGGCAGGCCUAACACAUGCAAGUCGAACGGUAGCACAGAGAGCUUGCUCUUGGGUGACGAGUGGCGGACGGGUGAGUAAUGUCUGGGAAACUGCCCGAUGGAGGGGGAUAACUACUGGAAACGGUAGCUAAUACCGCAUAACGUCGCAAGACCAAAGUGGGGGACCUUCGGGCCUCACACCAUCGGAUGUGCCCAGAUGGGAUUAGCUAGUAGGUGGGGUAAUGGCUCACCUAGGCGACGAUCCCUAGCUGGUCUGAGAGGAUGACCAGCCACACUGGAACUGAGACACGGUCCAGACUCCUACGGGAGGCAGCAGUGGGGAAUAUUGCACAAUGGGCGCAAGCCUGAUGCAGCCAUGCCGCGUGUAUGAAGAAGGCCUUCGGGUUGUAAAGUACUUUCAGCGAGGAGGAAGGCAUUAAGGUUAAUAACCUUAGUGAUUGACGUUACUCGCAGAAGAAGCACCGGCUAACUCCGUGCCAGCCGCCGCGGUAAUAC
rnacentral:rRNA from 1 species